UACGUAGGGUGCAGGCGUUAAUCGGAAUUACUGGGCGUAAAGCGUGCGUAGGCGGUUCGUUAAGUUCGUUGUGAAAGCCCCGGGCUCAACCUGGGAAUGGCAAUGGAAACUGGCGGGCUGGAGUAUGGCAGAGGGGGGUGGAAUUCCGCGUGUAGCAGUGAAAUGCGUAGAGAUGCGGAGGAACACCGAUGGCGAAGGCAGCCCCCUGGGCCAAUAACUGACGCCUCGAGGCACGAAAGCGUGGGGAGCAAACAGG
rnacentral:rRNA from 1 species